AGGUACCACAGCCGUUACUUCGGUGCCCGUCGGUGUCGGCUCACUCAGCCGGACAGAGGCCAAGUCUGCCGCUCCCGGCUGCUCCCGUGUUAGGCCCAAGGCUGAGGUUAGAUACGGGCCCAGGUUCCUUCCCUUCCACAGGCCCAGAAGCAGCCUUUGCGUUGGAACGGGAGGCUGUCAGCCCGUCGGCGUAGGUUUGGGGCCUAAACAGAAGCCAGGAUCUGUGUGUCAAUGUCUUCCAUUCAAGGACUCAGUCCUCAGCUGGGGCGUGAGGAAGCUGGUGUGGCAG